AUAGAGAAGCUGUCUGCUCUCUCUCUUCUGUCAUCUAAACUUCUCUC
rnacentral:sRNA from 1 species